CGGGAGCUGUACAGGUGCUGCAUGGCUGUCGUCAGCUCGUGUCGUGAGAUGUCGGUUAAGUCCGCUAACGAGCGCAACCCUCGCUGUGUGUUACAAGUGUCACACGGAACUGCCGGUCAUAAACCGGAGGAAGGUGGGGAUGACGUCAAGUCAGCAUGGCCUUUAUAUCCUGGGCUACACACACGCUACAAUGGGAAGGGACAAUAGGUUGCGAAGCCGCGAGGCGGAGCCAAUCCAGCAAAACUUCCCUCAGUUCAGAUUGCAGGCUGCAACUCGCCUGCAUGAAGUUGGAGUUGCUAGUAAACGCAGGUCAGCCAUACUGCGUUGAAUACGUUCCCGGGGCUU
rnacentral:rRNA from 1 species